rnacentral:rRNA from 1 species
CCUACGGGUGGCUGCAGUGAGGAAUAUUGGUCAAUGGACGAGAGUCUGAACCAGCCAAGUAGCGUGAAGGAUGACUGCCCUAUGGGUUGUAAACUUCUUUUAUAUGGGAAUAAAAUGUUCCCCGUGUGGGAUUUUGUAUGUACCAUAUGAAUAAGGAUAGGCUAACUCCGUGCCAGCAGCCGCGGUAAUACGGAGGAUCCGAGCGUUAUCCGGAUUUAUUGGGUUUAAAGGGAGCGUAGGUGGAUUGUUAAGUCAGUUGUGAAAGUUUGCGGCUCAACCGUAAAAUUGCAGUUGACACUGGCAGUCUUGAGUACAGUAGAGGUGGGCGGAAUUCAUGGUGUAGCGGUGAAAUGCUUAGAUAUCACGAAGAACUCCGAUUGCGAAGGCAGUUCACUGGACUGCAACUGACACUGAGGCUCGAAAGUGUGGGUAUCAAACAGGAUUAGAUACCCCGGUAGUC